GCUGAUGAUCCAAAGGUUAAAACAUCAGGGCAAUUGAAGGUAGAUGCUGUACAAAAAUAUGCAUUUCAAGUUAUACAACAUUUUAAAAAUGCAGAAGACAAUGUACAACCAUUUUUCCAUGACAAGGAGAAGAUAUCUGCUGCGCAAGAGAUACGACCUACUGUUGCAGCUGGUGUACUAUGUGAAAAUUCAUUAAGUCUCAAGAAGGCAGUAAUGCAUGUGGACGAGAAGGUACUUAAUACUAAAAGGAAGUUGCUACUACACCGCACAAAGCUGAUACAAAGAGCAGUAAUUGGACAGUGGUGAGUAAAUCACCUUUCAAAUAGCAAACUCCAGUUAUUCAAAUCAGAUUCAUCCAUCAACAAUUAUUGGAGUCUCGAACUCUUUUGAUGCAUUGGUCAAUGAGGGUGUGCACGAUGUGAAUGAGGCUAAAAAUAAGGAGCAACAUAGGGAGGAUGAGACACGAUCAGCUGAUGGAAAAACAAGAGUAACAACAACAACAACAACAACCACCCAAUAUAGUCCCACAAAGUUGGGUUAGGUAGACGAGCCUUACCCCUACCCGAAAGGGCAGAGAGGUUGUUUCCAAUCGACCCUCGUCUCAGUGAAGGAAAGGAAAAACAAAAACAAUAACAAAAGAGCAUUAGCAACUCCAGCAGAAAUAGCGUAAANN
rnacentral:lncRNA from 1 species